UUUUUUUGAGACAGUGUUUUGCACUGUCACCCAGGUUGGAGUGCAAAGGUGUGAUCUCAACUCUUUACAACUUCUGCCUCCUAGGCUCAAGACAUCCUCCCACCUCAGCCUCUCAAGUAGCUGGGACUACAGAUGUGCACCACCAUGCUGCCCACUAAUUUUCGUAUUUUUUUUUUUUUUUUUUUGUAUAGACGGGGUUUCACCAUGUUGCCCAGGCUGGUCUCAAGCUCCUGGACUCAAGAGAUCUACCUUCCCAAAGGGCUGAGAUUACAGUUGGUUUUUGAGUCUCCAGCUUCACCUCUCAACUCCUGCCACUUUAUGGAACACCCUCAGUGCCCAGGGGUCUCUUGUCCUUGGUCCUGGUUCUCCCUGGGCUGCCUUGAGACUUUGCAGUGUGCCAAUAAGAGGAUGUAUAUGAGACCCUUACUCAUGUAUUUUUCUCUUGUGAAGCUGAUCACACUGGACUUUUAAGUCCUUUCUUCCUGACAUUCAGUCUUUGACUCUGAAUUAGCUGAGGCAUGAGAAGUUCACCACAGGAAGGUCCUGCCCUUUGUUUGCUCCUAAAGGUUCCUUUAAAGUUCAACUUGACCAACACACCAUUGCAAGCACUCCAGAGGAGAAGACAGCCUUGCUGUGUCAAAUCCACUUUAGUUUGUAAAUUUCUUGUCAGUCACUUUUAUGCCCCCACUGAAUAGGACAGUGUGAAGCAUGGAUUAAGUAUGCAAUAAAUGGUUGUUGAAUAAAUCAGAAAAUUAAAUGCAUUCUGCACA
rnacentral:lncRNA from 10 species